UAUUUUCUAUUAAAAUAUUUAAUUUAGAUGUAGAAUUAGUGAAAAAUAUGUAAAGAAAACUUUAGUUUAGAUGCUGGGUUAUGUUCAGAACGUGGAAGAUUCUGAAAAUCCGGCCAAUAAAUGAUGCAAAUCUGCAAUUUCAUAUUUGCCUUCUUGGCGUCAGUGUUUUUCAGAGUCUCCAAUAAGUUCACAUAACUCAUUAAAUUUAGGUGUUUUAUUGAAUUUUUCUCGGCAGGAUCUUGAUCCUUGCCGCGUGUUACGCUUUAAGAUUCAUGGUUUAUCAUUUAAUCACGAAAAAGGAUAAUUUUUUUAACACUGGGGGACCCAACAUUGGGAGCAACGCGGAGGGAAAAAAUUGCUGGGUUUCAAUAUAAUUAAUCUAUUCUGCCUCAGUUUAUAAACGACGAUCGAAAGUCUCAUUAAUUCUUUAUCUAGAUCAAGUAUUCCUGCACUUCAUUCUAAAUAUUUUAUUAAUAAAAUGGAAACUGAGUAAAAUUGUGUAGAAUCUAUACAAAAUUGUCAAUUUUUAGUUCAAUUUUGUGUAUUUUCUUAUUGCACCAGAAUCCUCACUUUCUUUAAUUCCUCAAGUAAUAACCAAAUAGCUUAGUUCCAAAUAUGAUGGCACAGAAUUCUAUUUUUGUUUUGUUGUUUUUUUUUUUAAAUUUUAAGUAUGCCGAAACGGUCUUACUUUGGGUGCAGUAAAUCUACCUUCUUCAGAAAGCUUAAAAAAAAUCUCCAAAACGAUGAAGAUUUAGAGGAGAAUGAAGCAAAUGCUACUCUUCCUUCAUGCUCCUCACUCGUGCCAAUCGAAGAGUCAAUAUGCCCCUCAAACAGUGAUUCCUCGUUGAUUGAAAUUGAAAAUGAGGUAGACGAAUCAGAGUGUUCGUAUGCUGAAAAUGAUAGUUUUUGCGAAAAUGAUAGUGAUUGCGAAGCACCCCUCUCAACAGACGAUGAAUUCGAAUUGCAAAAUGAUGAUAAUGCGCAAACCGAAAGUGAUAUUAUUGAUGAGUCUCAAGAGGCGGAUAACUGCAGUUCUGAAAAUUCCCCCAAAGGUCGCAAUCUAAGGAUGGCACUAACAAAACUGGUGUUGGAUUUUUCUCCGACUUCCGAAUUUUGUCGAAGUAUGCUGAAAAUUUUUAGAGAACACGGGCAUCCAGAAAUUCCGGCAACUAAAGAGACAUUGCUUGGAACACCUAGAAGUAAAAUCCAGUUAAGAGAGGUGCCCCCUGGACACUAUUAUCACUUUGGCAUCGAAGAAUCACUACUUAACUUUCCUGACAAUUCCUAUCCAUCAACCGUGGAAACUAUUUGCUUGGACAUUGGAGUAGAUGGACUGCCACUUGUUGCAAAUGGGAAAUUGUGUAUGUGGCCAAUUUUAGCUGCAUUCACAGACCAAAAAGAUAUUGCUCCAUUCGUAGUAGGUGCCUACGUUGGGUAUGGUAAACCUGAUUCCUCCGAGGACUUCAUGAAAGAUUUUAUAGCUGAAGUGAAUCACCUAUACAGAAGGAACGGUGUAUUUGUUACAAAAAAACGAAUUUUUAAAAAGUUCAAAAUCGUGAAAUACAUCUGCGAUUCUCCUGCACGAUCCUUUAUAACCAAUGUUCUUGGGCACACGGCUUCAGCUGGUUGUCCAAAAUGCGAUCAAAGAGGGAAAAAAUUAGGUCCUUGUGUUGGUGACAAUGUAGUGAAAAAGGGAGUAUCAAAAAAGAAGAAGAAAUUGGUAUUCAAAAGUACAAGUGGAGCCUUGAGAACGGAUGCAUCUUUUACAACAAGAAAGGAUCCUGGACAUCAUAAGUCAAUGUCAGCGAUUGGCGUUGAGAAUAUAAAGGGAAUUCGGAUGGUAUCGGACUUUGUACUAGAUCCGAUGCAUAUUAUCGACUUGGGGGUUGUAAGGAGAAUACUGAAGUAUAUCUUUAGAAAUGAAUGUUCCGGAUUUAAACUCACCGAUGAAAGAAUGGAAGUAAUUUCAUCUUUUUACACAGCACUCAAACCUUUCAUUCCAUCGGAUUUCGUAAGAAAACCACGAUCCUUCACUCAGGAGCUAACCCAUUUUAAAGCUACAGAAUACCGAUUGUUUGGGUGUUACACAGGACUCCUUGUCUUCAGAAAAUAUCUUCCAUGGGACUAUUAUGUUCACUUUCUACAUCUUUACACUGCCAUAAGACUCCUGUCUGCGGAAAAUCCCCCACAAGGACACAUCUCUGUUGCAGAGAAGCUACUCCAAACAUUUGUUGAUCAAUAUCAUCAAUUUUAUGGAGCUAAUAGUGUCCACUUCAAUGUACACGCUCUCCUGCAUAUUUCGGAUUGUGUGCGGCUGUUUGGAAAUUUUUCAUGCUUCUCUGCAUUCAAGUUUGAAAAUGCUCUACAGCACAUUAAAAAAUUAAUCAAACGCAAAUCCAAAAUUCUGGAGCAACUGUAUAAUAGAAUUUGGGAAGAGAGAAAAUUUGCAGAAACCUCACCACCAGAUACAAAGUUGUCCAAUCGAAUAAAAAGUAAAUAUUACGGUUGUGGAAUGGCAUUUAAAAGUUGCCAAUACAACAAAUUUUCUUUCAACAUCAACGACAGCGAUUCAUUUGCCAUGAUACAUGGAAAUAUACCAGUACGGAUCGUCGAAUUUCAGAAAGAGGAUGAAAAUAUUGUAGUAGUGGCACGCCGUUAUAUUGAUCCGGAGCCUAUUGAUGGUUUUCCAAUAAACUCCUUGGAAGUUGGCGUCAUGAAAGUUAAUCGUAUGAGUGAGGAGUCAGAAGUAUUUUCUCUGAAGGACAUUACAUGCAAGUGUAUGCGGCUCCCAUUCGACGAUUCUUUUCUACUCAUAACUGUUCUGCACCUUAAUCUUGGAAUCGAUGAGAAAUUGCUCAAUUAACUCAUUUAGAGAAAUUCAAAUGUAUAAACUGCAAUGGAUGAGGAUACAGGUGUGGAAUUUCUGGUUUACGAUGACCUGAACACAAACGUAAUAAAGGUGUUGGAGUUACUGAAGGUUCUUGUUAAAGAGCACGAGGGAAUGAAGGAGGAUUUCUCAGCUAUCAAAGCCGAACAAUUCGCCAUGAAAGCAAAGAUCGAUUUGUUGCUUAAGGAGCAAGAGGGUCUCAAGAAGAAAAUAGCCGUGCUGCAAACCAGCUUUGAUUGCAAAUUUGGUGAGAGAGACAAUUCAAACAUGAUGCAAUUUCCUAUUGGGACAAUGCAGGACUUGGAGAAAAUCGAAGAACUUUUGUCGGAUUCAGGGAAUAAGGCAAACAUUGAGAACCAGUUGAGGAGAAUAUUGGACCCGGCAAAGACCUUCCAGCUUCAAAAUUUGAUCAAGGCGGAGCUACUUUGUUCUUUCAAUCUGAAGCCAAACGAGAACAAGAAAGGCUUGUUGGAUCUUGGGAUAAUUUCUACCGCAAUGGAUAUUCUGGGAUCCCAAAUUAGUAUGAGUUUUGCUUAUCAACUUAAACAAGCAAAAGAUAAGGUUGAUCAGGCCGCCCGAAGGAAGAACAAGAAGAGUGCUAGUAAUUAGAGAAAGAGAUUAAGGAUAAAAAAAAAACAAAAAAAAUCAACAAAAAAAUUCAAAAAAUUCAAAAAAAAAAAAGAAUAGAAAAAGAACAAAUAAAGAAGAGAAAAAACAAGAAAAGAAGAGAAAGAACGAAACGUACUAAUUAGAAUUAGAUAAUUAACUUAAAUUUUUUAUUAUAAUAAGAACAUGAAGAGUUGUAGUAAUUAGAAAUAAAAAAGAAAACAAAAAAAAAAAAAAAAAAAACAAGAAGAGAAAAACAAUAAGAGAAGAAGAAACAGGAAAAGAAAAGAAAAAAAAGAACAAAUAAAGAAGAGAAAAAACAAGAAAAGGAGAGAAAGAACAAAAUGUACUAAUUAGAAUUAGAUAAUUAACUUAAAUUUUUUAUUAUAAUAAGAACAAGAAGAGUGCUAGUAAUUAGAGAAAGAGAUUAAGGAUAAAAAAAAAACAAAAAAAAUCAACAAAAAAAUUCAAAAAAUUCAAAAAAAAAAAAGAAUAGAAAAAGAACAAAUAAAGAAGAGAAAAAACAAGAAAAGAAGAGAAAGAACGAAACGUACUAAUUAGAAUUAGAUAAUUAACUUAAAUUUUUUAUUAUAAUAAGAACAUGAAGAGUUGUAGUAAUUAGAAAUAAAAAAGAAAACAAAAAAAAAAAAAAAAAACAAGAAGAGAAAAACAAUAAGAGAAGAAGAAACAGGAAAAGAAAAGAAAAAAAAGAACAAAUAAAGAAGAGAAAAAACAAGAAAAGGAGAGAAAGAACAAAAUGUACUAAUUAGAAUUAGAUAAUUAACUUAAAUUUUUUAUUAUAAUAAGAACAAGAAGAGUGCUAGUAAUUAGAGAAAGAGAUUAAGGAUAAAAAAAAAACAAAAAAAAUCAACAAAAAAAUUCAAAAAAUUCAAAAAAUUCAAAAAAAAAAAAGAAUAGAAAAAGAACAAAUAAAGAAGAGAAAAAACAAGAAAAGAAGAGAAAGAACGAAACGUACUAAUUAGAAUUAGAUAAUUAACUUAAAUUUUUUAUUAUAAUAAGAACAAGAAGAGUGGUAGUGAUUAGAAAAAACAAAGAUUCGGGCUGAAAAACAAAAAUACAAAAAGAGGAAAAAACAAGAAGAGAAGAAACGAGAAAAGAAAAGAAAAGAAAAAAAAAGAAAAGAAGAAAACAAAAUGUAGUACAUGAAUUAGAAAGUAACUUUAAAAAAAUAACAUUAUUAUAAUAAUUAUUUGAGGAUUUAUAAGUAUAUAUACGAAGGAAAUAUAUAUGAAUUAAAUUAAAAAAAUUAUGUAAAUAAAAAAAUGAAAAAAUAAAGAAAACCCGAUUUUUUAAUAAAAAAUAGAUCGACGGUCUGCAGACGGUAUCGGUUGUGACGUCACAAUGGUAGGGUCGAUUUUCGAGCCGACUGGGGUCGAUUUCGAACCAAUUAAUUGACCGAUUUUGCACCAAAAAAAAGUCUCACGGGGAUAGGGCAUUCAAUGUUAAAUGUCGGCAGACGAAUCGAUCUAUGCGUCGGCAAAUCGUCUGUUGAUAUGCUCGAUUUUGUCGUUCGAAAUCGACUCUACAUCGACAGAUUUACGGU